rnacentral:miRNA from 1 species
UUCCACAGCUGAAAGGACAUACUUUAUUUCAUCUAUCCAAACCUUACUAAUUCA